rnacentral:lncRNA from 1 species
GGCAAGAACGGGCGCCGGAGGGUACCAGCCCAGAAGGCUGGUGUUGGGACCCCGAGGCUCCCUGCCCUUGAGCCCCCAAAUCCGUCUUCUCCCUGCAUCAGCCUGGGCUGUGUGACCUUGGGCAGGGGCUUUGCCUCUCUGGACCUUAGAGCCCCCCUGAAAGGUGCUGAGCUCAGUGUGGGUGGAUGCGCCGAGGGCAUGCAGAGUCCUCCUGCCGCCUCUGUGGAUGAGAAAUAGGGCCUGUGGUCCACGGCUGCUGUGACAAUGAAGAGAGAACUGUGGAAACUGUGAAGUGCGAUGGACAAAGGGUUGUGUGUCUUAAAUGGUCAUUCGCAGAACUUAAGGCUUUUGAGGCGAGUCCCCAGGAAGACACAGCCACAGCCGCGUGGACCCCACACGUGGGGGAGGGCUGUUCCGGGGCGGCAGGUCCCACUGGAACCAGGCUGAAGCCUAGGGAGUCCUGGAAAGGCUUGGGCAUCCACGGGGCCCCGCUGCAGGUUAACUCCAGGAACCCCCAAGCCCCAGGUCCCUUCGCGGGCCCCCCCCCUCCACCCAUCCUGUGGUCCAGGAGGAACCUGCCCAGAGCAGCGGGAGACGGGGCCCGGGAAGGAGGCCGGGGUCGGUGUUCCAACCGGGGGAAUCGGUUCCCUUCGCUGCAGGCAGCGGGGAGGGUGCGGGGAGCGGAGAGCGGGGGAGGCGGAGAGGGGGGCCGGGAAGAGGGCGAGGGGAGCGGGCGGCCGGGAAGGAGAGGCACACGCGGAGAGGGAUUGAACCUUGAGAGAAGCCGCCCAAGGAAAGGAACAGAGUACCCACAAAACCCCACACUGGGACAAAGAGAAGGACGCCCGGAUUCUCCCUGCCAGCUCCUCCCACCCGCUUCCAGUCCACCAGCCCUUCUCCUGCUCUGAGCACCUGGACGCCCGCUCUGGACAUUGUCUCCCCACCCCCACCUUGGACCACGCUGGACCCCAAGGGCGACGGCCGCCUGCAGCUGGGUACCCUUGCAUGCAAAACGAGGGGCUGGGGUGUCACCCCCAAGAGGGACAGAAUGAAGGAGGAGGAUCAGAGAGACCUGGAAGUGAAUCCUGAGAGCGU